UGUGGUUCGCUUACUAGUUGAUGUCUACUGAUGGAAACGGAGGGGAAAAAAAAUAGUUAUAACUAAAAUCACUACAACAAAAACGGUCUAUAACAACACUUUUAAAUGUAGGUACAUAUCAAAAAAGUGCUGCUAGCUAAAAUUACCGACACUUUUAAAAAGUGUUGCUAUACGUGGGGUCGCUAGGAAUAUAGUGACAGUUAAAGAGUGUCGCUAUAACCUAAAAGAGUGCUGCUAAUUUAUCAACACUUAUUUAAGCAUUUAGCAACCGCCGAAACUCUAUCUCGUUGGCUGCGGUGGCGAAGAAGGACGACAGUAAAGGCUCUUCGUCUAGAAUUUCAGUGGAUUGAGUGAAGAGAGAAGAAAAGAUGGUAAUUGAUUUUUCUUUUUUUUUUCUUUUCUGUUUGUAAUCGGGCCAAAUGGACUGGGUGUGGUAGGUUGAGUAGAGUAAUCUUUUAUUUUUGGUUGGAUUGGGCUUUAUAUUUAGGCAUUAGUAGAUGUGUUUUUAAGUUUUAGCAUAAAUGGGACACUUACUCAAAAGUGUCCUAAAUAUGUGUCUCUACAACCUAAUUCUGUUGUAGUGAAUGGAGUACAAAAGGAUGUCUUUCGCUGAUAGCGCU
rnacentral:lncRNA from 1 species